rnacentral:rRNA from 1 species
UACGGAGGGUGCAAGCGUUACCCGGAAUCAUUGGGCGUAAAGCGUCCGUAGGCGGUUUGUUAAGUUAAGUAUUAAAUCUCGUAGCCCAACUCCGAGGCUGUACUUAAAACUAGCAAACUAGAGACUUCCAGAGGUGCGUGGAAUUCUGUGUGUAGGGGUAAAAUCCGUAGAUACACAGAGGAACACCAAAAGCGAAGGCAGCGCACUGGGGAAGUUCUGACGCUCAGGGACGAAAGCGUGGGGAGCGAACGGG